UUUAUGUGUACAUGUGUGGUUGCGGGCGUGUGAGGAGGAAGAUGGGAUGGAUCAGAGAAUGUUCAAAAAAAAGGAGGGGGCCCGUUCGGCUCAUACCGGCGAGGGUGGGGGCCAGCGGGACGUGCGGGCCUGGCCAGAUUGUGACGUCAACAUUGAUACAAUGUUGAGGAGAAGUGAGAGAAGAGAGGGGGGCUAACUUGUAAAUAGUGAUGAGAUAAUUGUUCAAUUGAUGGGAGUUAAUAAUUAUCCAAAUUUUAGUCACAUGUUUUGAGGGACCACAGCAACAACAUUGUAUUUGCAGGCCAUUAAUUUAGUUGGUGAUGACAGUGUUUAGAUAAGUAGAUUGUUUUAUCAAAAAAUGUGAGAGUGAAGGAGGAGGUUUGAUUUGUAAUCUGGCAUUUGGGUGCCACUUUUAAGAGUCUGUGCAGGAGCAUAGAUUGUUUUGGUUGUUUUUAAAGAUAUAUUUAACAGUUUAUUUCGGUGCAGUAAGGAUAUAGCAGUUUUGAAAGACUUAAAAUCGAAAGCAAAAUUACAUUUUAAUUCUGACAUAUGCCAGCUAACAUGAGGAUGGCAAAUAAAUAAAUGAAUAAAUACUAGGUCAAAUGUGGCAUGUGUUUUAAAUUGGGCGAUAAGACAUUCACUUUCAAGCACUAUAAUUUAGCGCUGCUGACAACAAUAACUUAUGAGAUGGUAAAUCAAGGAGGAGUGUCAUAGUUGGAACACAGGGGCUGUAUGACCUAUAGAUUGAACAAUAACAUUCACCGCAUAUACAACCAUGUUGGUAGAUUGUUAAAUUACAUUACAGUUUAUUACAAAAGAUUUCGGAACUUUAUUUGAUGAUAAACACUGGAACGAGGAGUUUAGCCGUGUUAAUGGGUAGGGUGGAUGGAUUGCUCAGAAGAAAAAAAGCAUUUGAUAAGGGCGGCUUGAUAGUAAGAUGAUGAGUGUGCGCAACUGAUAGGAUACAAAAUGUUAAUAGGAAGAUUUGGGGUGUAAGGAACAAAUACUACACAGGAAGACUGAUAACACAAAGAUAGUUUUGUUAAAUUUGUGUCCCAGUGUGUUCUUCCCUAGCGCGUGGCACGAUUCCUGAACUGAGUCCUCUUACUCCACUGGCUGUCUCAAAAUCAACAGAGGACUGUCCCUGGUCAUGAGACACCUUUGACCUUUGGGAGAACAACAGAAACUGCUAUCAUGCUUGAAGGGGGCAAGCACAGCUUUUCACAGGACAAGAACCAUACAGUUGGUGGAAUACACACAGUUGCAGAUCAAAAAGACUGAAAGAACAAAGACAAGAUGGACGCAUUUGAGAGUGGCGGAUGAUCCAGCCCUGAAUCAUCAUCAUGAGAAUCUAAGAGGAGAGGCUGCUAAAGACUUGCAUGAGUCACACGAAGUCAAACUGGACACAUUGCUAAAGACUGCUGAAGCAUUACAAAGUUGGUGGAGUGUGGGACAAAAGGGAUGGAAGUGUGUUUGGGUGCUGGGGCGGACAUAUCUGAGGAGUUUUGAUAAAAGAGGGAAUAAUAAGGCUGCUUAUUGACACUGAAACGGGGAUAACAACAAAAUACAUAGAUAUGGACAGCGAAGAUGCAUUAAUAAUAACAAAUCAUACGACAGCGUGAUCAGAAACUUUGCAAAGUGGAUAUUGAUCGAUAGAAAUUAAAUUUAUCAAAACGACAGAAUUUAAUUAUACAUCAAUUGCGACAAUUGAUUUAAAUGACACUUUAUGAUAGGCAUUUAUGGUUAGGGUUAACGAUCCAUCCAUCCAUCCAUCCAUCCAUUACUGGUGCGGCUUGUCCUUACGAGGGUCACGGAGGAUUAACAGUAAUAACUAGAAUUUGUAAUUUUUGGAGAAAUUGUGUGUGAAGGUGAAGAGGCUGAAUACAAAAUCGGGGAAUGCUACAAGAUUAUGUUUAAAUUUAGAACGUGUUAAAUUGGUCAGAAAAUGGAUGAAAAUUUCGAAAGAAUUUCGCAAAAUUGGGCGUGAAUUUUGAAGUUGAAAAUUUGAAAUUUUUCACAAGUGGGAAGUUUUGGAAUAGGUGGGCAUAAGAUGAACAGUUAAAAAAUUUGAAACAGGUUGAGUCAGUGAAAAAAUAAUUAGAAAUUAGAAGGAAAAAAGGAAAUUUUGCAAAAUGUUGCCGCAAUGUUGAAAGUGGAAAUGGGAAGUUUUAAGCUAGAAAGUGAGAGAAGGUGAAUUGGAAAGUGAAAGAAGGUUAAUUGGAGGAAUUAUGUGGAAGAAAAUGAGAAAUAUUGAAUGUGCCAUGAAGAAUGAAUGGUGAAAUAUUGGCUUAAAAUUUGUAAAUUUCUCGAAAAUCGUAAAUAUUUAGAAUAUUUGGUAUUAAUAUUUGGAAUGUGUUAAAAGUGGAAUGAAGUGAAUCAGACAAUUUAAAGUACAGGAACAAUAAGUGUGAGGGCCACAAUGAUGAUCAUGACAGCAAAAAUAUUCCUAAUUGGUUUUGAUAGGUAGAAAGGGGGAGCGUGGAAGGUUUUCAAACUUUGUGAUAUAGCGUGACUCCAUUAUCAAAAGUAAGCAUUUAAUUUUAAGAAUUGGCAUCAACAAAAAUGAGAACGAUAAUCUUCAAGGUGAUAGCGUAAGUGGCAGGAGGAAGCUGUGUAUAUUGUUUUUAAACAUUAUUUUUGGUAUCAUUAUUUUUUAGGAGGGUCAGUUAUGCUUGUGAGAAGAUGACUGAGGGAACAAGGUAACAGUAAAAGGGAGUGCUCUAUAAAUUGUUGGUUCUUUGCCAGAGGUAGUUAUUUGGAGGGAUGAAUUUAAACGGAAAGCAAAAUGGAACUGUUUAGUAGAAGAAAUAUGGGAAUGUGGAAAUAUUGAAGUUACAGCUCAACACAAAGUGUCAAAUAGUCUAAGUGAGAGAUGUGAGCAAACUAAAUGGGGAGUUAAAUCAUGUUCCAGCAUUAUGCAUAUUGGCAAACGAGGAGAGGACAGGAAACCAGACAAUUAGAUAUUAAUUUUGGAUUUAAAAUAAAAAAGGGAAAUUUUAAUUGAGGAGAAUAUUUUGUGUAGGGACGGUUCCUUUUUACAAUUUAAUAUUGUAUGUUUUUCUGUGUGUGUUGUGGAAUGACAGUUUGUCUGUAAUGGUGUAUGAAUGUCAAGUCUGUGCUUGUGGUGUGGUGUUUGUGUAUUGUGAAUGGUUGACAUGAUUCAAAGUUGGGGUGAUGUGAUCACAGCAGAGGAUAACAUUCCUCUCACCUGAAAAAUAUAAAGAUACUACAGAUUUGAAAGAGCAUGAUUGAUCAGGACUAAUUUUUGACUAAAUAUGGGUUUAGGAUUACUCAGGGGCACCAUCGACAACAAAACAGUGCGAUGGAGAAGGCCCAUUUCAGUAAUAUGGUUAGACAAGACAGAACUGUUAUGGAACAUUAAGACUUUGGACGAUUUGAUGUGUGACGACUUUGAGCUCACCCGACGGGGUGACGGACUAGGUGGACAGUGACCAAGUGUUUGACGCUUGAGCUUGCUUGCGACAAGUGCACGCUCUGCUUUGUUUUUCUGUGUGACUUAAUUUUUUGCAGCAGCAACAGCCACCAGCCAAGGAGCGGAUUGCGCGCUGCUUGCGUAACUUGUUUUCGUUCUUGCAGGUUGUCGAUUGCGUUCGUGGAAAAUUUGUAUUGAAUUUACAAGAAUAUGUUAACCCUUGCCCUUUUGGUUUUUAUGAUGAACUUGUUGAUGACAUGGUUUUCAGGACAUGAUCCGCGGGCGCCAGGAUUCAUUUUAUGACUGUUUUUAUUCUGAUACUUGAUGUCUGUUUUUGUACAAAUGUCCGCUGUCAGCAGGGCUAUAAGCUCACUGACAGGAGUGCGAUGAUUUUUGUUUGUGUCGCCGAGCGUGUGGUGGACGAGCUAGAGGUUCCGCGGGCCUGACUACAAUGAGUGUGGUGAUGAGAGGGGAUGCUUAGCAGGUUCCUUUUGAUACAUAAUGACACAUUGGGUGAAUGUGUCAAAAGGGGGAGUGGUAAGAUAGAAUUGGGUGAGUAGGUUGUAAAAUACAAAUGGGUGAGUAGGUUGUAAAAUACAAAUGGGCGAGUAGGUUUCAAUUUGUAAUUUUGAUAUCCAAAGUUUUUUUUCCAAAUCCACUUGUUUUUAAGCUUUAACAGGACAUGCCAGAAUUCAACUAGCAGUGAUGGAAGGAGCAGAGGAAGACCAGUGACAACUGGUUGUGGUGUGGUGACAACAAAUUAUAGCAUCACUUGCCAAAGGAUGCAUAGGGUAUCUGUGCCCUCGUGUCUUUGAUAAUGCCUGUAGUGGUUGUCCCCAUUGAAACACAGAAUCUCAAUUGGAACAUGGAGUCCCCACUGGCGGGGCUCCUGAAGUGAGCCAAAAGAGACGUCUUGCCCCCAUGGUUGAGCGACAACGAUCCAACAUAUAUUGACGCCAUAGGUGUGCCAGAUAAGUAUGAAUUCGUUAAUCAAGUGUCCUCGGGAUUCAAAAGCAUUUUCCUAUGGAUCACCCCCAAUAAAAAUGUAUCAUUUACAGCGGUCCAUGAACAAUUGGCAUUGAUGUCGUUCCAAAAUAGAAUUGCGUUGGACAUGCUAUUGGCUAAGGAACAUGGUGUGUGCGGAAUGUUUGGUGAUGCAUGUUGUACUUUCAUCCCCAACAACACAGCGCCAGGGGGCCGACUGACCCAGGCGGGAAGAAAGGACCGACAGCAUGCUGGUCGCUGCUUGCUAGAGUAACGGGUGAUGACCUCAUAAAUGAGGUCAUGAGAGGGAAUAAAGGGAAAUGUACUUUCGGCAGUUUGCAAACACAUUUGAUUAAGGCUCCGUUAGACACAUAUAACCAUAUCAAUAUAAUUUCUAGUAGUAGUGUGGUUGCUUAAUAAGUGGAAAGGAAUGUGCAGGCUACAUGAAUUUGUUUUCUUCAAAGUAUUGUGGAACAGGAGGUCCGGAAAGGGAGCAUAUCUCAAGGCCGAUGGGAACGCGAAAAACAACUCGUCUUUGUGGUCCAGACACCUGUGCUGAGCAGGGGAAAACCCAAACGAGGAGGAGAUGACCACAGACCAUCGACCAAUCACCACACAAUCUUUUGCAUGUUUGAAUAUUCAUAUUGUGUUUCUUUAAAACUGGGCAACCCGGAAGAAUGUGUCGUCUUUCUGGUCACGAAGGCACACGAGUUUUUGUGUUAAGGACCCAAGACCCAGGCGCCUGUAUUAGCUUGCUUUGUCAAGAUUAAACAAUUGGUAAAUUCGG